CCCGCACGCCGGAAGACCAAGGGUUCCUGUCCAACGUUAAUCGGGGCAGGGUGAGUCGACCCCUAAGGCGAGGCAGAAAUGCGUAGUCGAUGGGAAACAGGUUAAUAUUCCUGUACUGGUGAUAAUUGCGAUGGGGGGACGGAGAAGGCUAGGCUGGCCGGGCGACGGUUGUCCCGGUUUAAGGAUGUAGGCAGGUGAAUUAGGCAAAUCCGGUUCACUAUAUGCUGAGGUCUGAUGACGAGUCACUACGGUGGCGAAGUAGCUCAUGCCCCGCUUCCAGGAAAAGCCUCUAAGCUCUAGAUUAUCAUUAAUCGUACCCCAAACCGACACAGGUGGUCAGGUAGAGAAUACUCAGGCGCUUGAGAGAACUCGGGUGAAGGAACUAGGCAAAAUGGUGCCGUAACUUCGGGAGAAGGCACGCUGGCGCUAGGUGAAGUCCCUCGCGGAUGGAGCUGAAGCCAGUCGCAGAUACCAGCUGGCUGCAACUGUUUAUUAAAAACACAGCACUGUGCAAACACGAAAGUGGACGUAUACGGUGUGACGCCUGCCCGGUGCUGGAAGGUUAAUUGAUGGGGUUAUCCGUAAGGAGAAGCUCUUGAUCGAAGCCCCAGUAAACGGCGGCCGUAACUAUAACGGUCCUAAGGUAGCGAAAUUCCUUGUCGGGUAAGUUCCGACCUGCACGAAUGGCGUAAUGAUGGCCAGGCUGUCUCCACCCGAGACUCAGUGAAAUUGAACUCGCUGUGAAGAUGCAGUGUACCCGCGGCAAGACGGAAAGACCCCGUGAACCUUUACUAUAGCUUGACACUGAACAUUGAGCCUUGAUGUGUAGGAUAGGUGGGAGGCUUUGAAGUGUGGACGCCAGUCUGCAUGGAGCCAACCUUGAAAUACCACCCUUUAAUGUUUGAUGUUCUAACGUGGCCCCAUCAUCUGGGGUGCGGACAGUGUCUGGUGGGUAGUUUGACUGGGGCGGUCUCCUCCCAAAGAGUAACGGAGGAGCACGAAGGUUGGCUAAGCAUGGUCGGACAUCAUGCGGUUAGUGCAAAGGCAUAAGCCAGCUUGACUGCGAGAGUGACGGCUCGAGCAGGUACGAAAGUAGGUCUUAGUGAUCCGGUGGUUCUGAAUGGAAGGGCCAUCGCUCAACGGAUAAAAGGUACUCCGGGGAUAACAGGCUGAUACCGCCCAAGAGUUCAUAUCGACGGCGGUGUUUGGCACCUCGAUGUCGGCUCAUCACAUCCUGGGGCUGAAGUAGGUCCCAAGGGUAUGGCUGUUCGCCAUUUAAAGUGGUACGCGAGCUGGGUUUAGAACGUCGUGAGACAGUUCGGUCCCUAUCUGCCGUGGGCGUUGGAAGAUUGAAAGGGGCUGCUCCUAGUACGAGAGGACCGGAGUGGACGCACCACUGGUGUUCGGGUUGUCAUGCCAAUGGCACUGCCCGGUAGCUAAGUGCGGAAGAGAUAACCGCUGAAAGCAUCUAAGCGGGAAACUUGCCUUGAGAUGAGUCUUCCCUGACUCUUUAAGGGUCCUAAAGGAACGUUUAAGACUAAGACGUUGAUAGGCUGGGUGUGUAAGCGUAGCGAUACGUUGAGCUAACCAGUACUAAUGAACCGUGAGGCUUAACCUGACAACACCGAAGGUGUUUUAG
rnacentral:rRNA from 2 species